CCUACGGGAGGCAGCAGUGGGGAAUAUUGGACAAUGGGGGGAACCCUGAUCCAGCGACGCCGCGUGAGUGAAGAAGGAUUUCGGUAUGUAAAGCUCUAUCAGCAGGGAAGAAAGAAAUGACGGUACCUGACUAAGAAGCCUCGGCUAACUACGUGCCAGCAGCCGCGGUAAUACGUAGGGGGCAAGCGUGAUCCGGAUUUACUGGGUGUAAAGGGAGCGUAGACGGUGAUGCAAGUCUGAAGUGAAAGGCCGUGGCUCAACCCCCGGACUGCUUCGGAGACUGAAUGGCUAGAGUGCAGGAGAGGUAAGUGGAAUUCCUAGUGUAGCGGUGAAAUGCGUAGAUAUUAGGAGGAACACCAGUGGCGAAGGCAGCUUACUAGACUAUAACUGACGUUGAGGCUCGAAAGCGUGGGGAGCAAACAGGAUUAGAUACCCUUGUAGUC
rnacentral:rRNA from 1 species